rnacentral:lncRNA from 12 species
AUAAAACCAUGGAAAAUGAUCAAAUUAUUAUUGGAAGAACUCUGUAACAUUAAGAGAAGAAAGCCUCGGAGCCAGAGGAAUAAAGCAAAAUAUAAACCCCACCAGCAGCAUCACUCCUUUUGUCUGCAGCAUGUAAAAAAAAAAAAAACCCCCCCCCCCCCCCCCCCCCCCCCCCCCCCCCCCCCCCCCCCCCCCCCCCCCCCCCCCCCCCCCCCCCCCCCCCCCCAAAAAAAAAAAAAAAAACCCAACAAAACGCUGCAGGAAUCGUUCUGGAUCGAGUCGUGUCGGCUCGAAAAGAAGCGAUCCCGGCUGGAUCUUUAGUUCGGGGCUGAGUUUUAGCAGCGCUGACAUUUCUGCAGCUGCCGGGCACGAAGGUGGCUGGGAAUCGCCCCGAACCUGCGCGCCUGCAAUUCUGGAGCGGCGAGGGAAGAAGGGAAAAGGGUGGGGGGGACUCGUUCUCCCCCAGCCGCUAUUCCCUCCUCUGUUCCCUCCUUUUCUCCUCGCCACAACCUCGCCAUUCCCCCCGCAAAAUCAGCCUCGGGGGAGCGCAGAAUGCGCGCUCCCCCCUCCCCAUUAUUCCCGUGCCCUGCGCUCCUUUUCGGGGCCACCUCGGCGCUGCCGCCCUGUCCCUUUAAAGCUCCAGCGCCUGUAAUUGAUGUGUCUGGGCCAGUCUAGACUGGGAGCGACUCGAGCCAUCCCAAUUAAAGUGCGCGCAGCAGCGCGGAGCCUGCGCGGGCUCCGUCCUCCCCCUUUUUUCCCCCUUUUUUUUUCCCCCCUUUUUCCCCACCCCAGCCCUCCCCGCCCAUUGUUUUGCCGCAGCACCGCGGACACAAUAGCGACCCCCGGGGAGGGGACAGCGGGGACAAGGGGGGGCCCCCAAAGCGGGGACCCCCUCCCCAAAAAGCGGAGGGUGCGCGGGGAUGCGCGGGGACCCAUCCCAGGCUCGCAGACAAAGCGAGCCCCUUCCCUCCCCGCGGAUGGGGGAAAAAAUCGGGGUUAAAAGCUUCGGGGAAGGGUAAAAACACCCCCAAAAACCCGACUUUUUGCGGGUGUGGUAACGGAUAAAGGUGCGGGGCUCCAGCGCUCCCGAUUCCAAUUUACAGCGCCGAGCAGGUAAUAGAAAAUGAAUGCGGCUCGCUUCGGAAUGAAAGGACGUUUGGGAUAAUACAGAAAUUCAGCAUGGAAAGGCUUUCUUGGCUUUUUUUUUUUCGCUCAGUGAAAUUACAGUAGCAUGAAAAAGCAGCGAAAAUUCAUAAAAAAAAAAUCAAAAUCAAACAAGCAACCUUUUCCAGUUCAAUAACUGUUAAACAGGAAGCAGCAAACAUAUCCUAAAGCUCUUAAAUACCAAAAGGUUACACCGUCAAUUAAUUUUUGGUGCAUCGUUUUAAGUUCAAGCAUUUGCAUUCAAAUAUCAAACAGUAAUUCGGUGCCAUAACAAGGUACAGUAACUCCAUUAUAAAUUGCCUUGCAGAACAGAGAUAAGAAAUACAGUUCCAACCAUAAUUAAUUUUACAGCAACAUAAAAAAAUCUAAUAAAGAAAAACAGCAGCAGCAGGAAACAUUUCGAACAUUUCUGAUUCAUCAUUUACAUAUCAUAUUGCCCGGAAAAAGCAGCAAAGCUGGAAGUUCUAGAAAAGGACUCGAAGAAAACUUCAACAUUUCUUUUUACUUUCCAACCAUUAAUACAUGCAACCAUUUUAUUCUGCGGUUUAUUUUUCCAACCUAUAAAAAUCCAACCCAUCUCCCCCCCCCCCCCCCCCCCCCCCCCCCCCCCCCCCCCCCCCCCCCCCCCCCCCCCCCCCCCCCCCCCCCCCCCC